GCCCAGAGCCGAGCUGGUUGAGGUGUGCCUGCCAGACUGGAUCUUCCUGGCCCUCAGCAGCAAGGCUGGAAGGAGUGUCUGUGCUUCUGUGUUCUGCAACCUAGAUCAUACAUAGAAUGUUCGAUCAGGACAGAGCCAUAGCAAGGAUGGUAUAAGCCUUUCACUGGACCAAAGAGCAAGGCAGGCUGGAGAGAACCGGGCAUCCUAAUGUGGAGCACUCACACAGCUGAAGGCAGAGCCCGAGGCGGCACAGGAGGACCCGUCCCUGAGGGGCGCACGGAGCCAGGACCCUCUGACGGCCACGGCCUGCAUUCAUCCUUCCUGGGAGAGUAUGGUUUACCAUGAAUGAGAACGAUUGGUCAUCUCCCAGCCCGGACACUCGUGACCCUGGCCCGAGUCACCCUGCGGUGCUCACUGACUCACGAUGCUUUGGCUGUAGGUACGGCGAGGGCACAAGCAGUCCCCGGGUUGUAUUAGAGACAUUUUAUUGAAAAUGCGAAAAUAGGAAAUGUAUUAUAGCCUAAAAUAAAUUACAUAACAUAUACAGCA